GACGAACGCUGGCGGCGUGCUUAACACAUGCAAGUCGAACGAAGUGGCGAACGGGUGAGUAACGCGUAAUCAACCUGCCCUUCAGAGGGGGACAACAGUUGGAAACGACUGCUAAUACCGCAUACUGAAGGAGGGGAUUGCGUCUGAUUGGCUCGUUGGAGGGGUAACGGCCCACCAAGGCGAUGAUCAGUAGCCGGGCUGGAAGGAUUGACGGCCACAUUGGGACUGGGGCACGGCCCAGACUCCUACGGGAGGCAGCAGUGGGGAAUCUUCCGCAAUGGACUAAAGUCUGACUGAGCAACGCCGCGUGAGUGAUUACGGCCUUCGGGUUGUAAAGCUCUGUUAAUCGGGACGCGGUACCGGCAUAGAAAGCCACGGCUAACUACGUGCCAGCAGCCGCGGUAAUUC
rnacentral:rRNA from 1 species